GGCACUGCCCGGUAGCUAAAUGCGGAAGAGAUAAGUGCUGAAAGCAUCUAAGCACGAAACUUGCCCCGAGAUGAGUUCUCCCUGAGACUUAGAGUCUCCUGAAGGAACGUUGAAGACGACGACGUUGAUAGGCCGGGUGUGUAAGCGCAGCGAUGCGUUGAGCUAACCGGUACUAAUGAACCGUGAGGCUUAACCUUACAACGCCGAAG
rnacentral:rRNA from 1 species